CUGUGGGAAAUAAAGUAAGUAUGAAGGUUUUUAACAAUGGGAAAAAAGAGAAGGAUCAUCUAGCAGUGAUUAUAACCUAGACGGCCUAAGACUUACCUCUAAAAGGACCCAAGGCAAUGAACUUUCUCCUCGUGUACAAAAAAGGCCUUUAUGCCCUAUAUUCUCAUCAUUGAAAGAGGUAGACAACAGGAGGGGGGCAAAAUAUGGCCUUCCAGAUGUGUCAGGGUUGUGAUAAGUCAUGUUUAAACUUUACCCAAAGUGAAAUAAAGUGUCAACAGAAACUCCUGUCCAAACUCUCUGAUCAGGUCAGGCAAACAACCAAUCGAAAAAAAAUCAAUCAAAUGUGAAAGGUGGCCCAAAGGGGUGGGAAUGCUUAACUCCGGGAUUCCCAUAGAAGCCAGGUCUAUUUAGCAACAUGUUUCUUGCGAGCUGCUGCUUCUUCUUGUGGUCCUGAAACAGCCAGAAAGCACACCAGAGGGUGUCCUUUCAUGAGCUGGCUUGACCCUGAGCAGGCUGAGAAGUUGGUGGCAUUUGCCAAUGCCAUGAAGAAGGAAGGAUUCUGGGACGGAUGAGCUCAAAACUGAUUGUCUGAUCAGCCCCAGGGUCAGUGCUUUGAGAAGAGAGAUGGUCUACACACCUAAGAGGAAUGGGAAAUUUAGCCUUGAUCUGGAAUUCUAUAAGUGCUCAAAGAAAUUAGUUAGUUCUUGAAGGUGAAAGAGGAGAGCAAAAACUUCUAAGUACACCUGGCAGAGUGGUAGCAAUAUGCUUCCACAUGGCCUGUCCAGUUGGAAACAGACUGCAUUUCCCCAGGGGUAAGGAGUCGGCAGGAACCAGACAGAAGCUUGAAGCCCAGCCAAACAGACUAGUGUGUAGGACAGGAUUACAAUUGCAAGAAGGAGGUAAAGUAUAUAUAAAUCAGAAAUGGGAGAAAGGAUCCAAUCUUAUGAAUGGAAUAAAUAUGGCACAAUUCAAUGGGUUUUGUGGACAAGAAGGUGUUUGGAUCUUACCUUCCACAACAAAUCAAAUUCUAGAUGCCUAGUGCAGAUGGAACUCUUAAAGCAUCACCAUUCUAUCUGGGUACGCCCAGGAACCAAAUGGGCUGAUGGUUUCAGCUAGAUAAGACUGGAAGACAGCAAGGACUUGGAAAUGUACUCACAGACCCUCCUACCCGUGAUAACUGACUUCAGAGCACACCUUCAUUCCCACCUUUCUAUAUUUUAACAUGGGAUUGAGACUGGGACAGAGGUUAACAAGGCAUCUCAAGCCAAUCAAGAACUAGAUGCACAUAACUGCAUUUGAUGGGGAAGUAAAAAUUACUACAAAUUUAAAAAAAAGUGUAUAUACGUUCACCAAGUAGCUAUAAUUCUAGGGUCUUAUUUUUAAGGAAAAAAAAAUGCAUUAAAGGUAGAAAAGGAGAAACAUAGGUGGAGGGAGAGGAAGAAAGCUGGAGAGGAAGGCAUUUUGAACAUCUAUCACUAUUAUAUUAGGAACUUCACAUGAACCAUCUCAUUUACCUCUCACAAAAUCUAUGAGAUUGAGACAAUGCUGCUUAUUAUGGCAUCGUUAAUCAUAGUGAAAAAUUGAAAACAGCCUUCUUGUAUACUGCUAAGAAAACUGGGGCCUUAAGUGGGUGCAAAUGUUUGUCUAAACCAAUACAUUGACUGCUCUACAAGAAAAUGCUGGUGUGGUCCUUCAGAUAUUCUGCCAGGUACCUCCCCACCUAAUCCCUGACCGUAGCCUCAGCCCAACUGCUCUGAAGCUUCUAGUACCUGCAUGGCUGGACAAGGGACACUGGGAUCACCACCCACAACCCUGCAUGCUGCAAUCUUCUUCCCACACCAACCCCACUCUCUCUGCCCCAAGCAAGAUGACUAUGCAAACGAGAGAAGGCCUAGGAUCUCAAGUCCCAGUGACUCACCUGCCAGCUCUAGGCAUACAUAUAUGACCUGUAGACUUCAUAUUAAAUCAUCCUCUUCCUGAUACCAAACAUCCUUAUGGGUGACUGGUACAUCCUCUGGUAAUCCAAAAAUGUCCUACAUACCUGUGUGAUGUAGUAAGCUACUGUCUCCCAGCUCCCAAACCUCCAAUACCCUGCUCUGGGACGCUAAAAGAGUCUCUGUAAAUCAUGUUUUUCCUUUGCUAGUUGCUCCUAAUAGAUAGAUUCUGGCAAUAGGGGGCAGUAAAGGGAGAUUGGAAUCAGGAGAAGGCAGAAUGCAUUUCCCCACUUUUUUUUUACUUGCUGCUCCCGCCAGUGCUACCUAGCAGCAAUACUUCAUCCCUACAGCAGCAGUUGGAUACAGCCCCCAUCUCCUAGAGUCAGCCUCAAAGUGCUUUCUCAGAGGUACAAGCUCUAGGAAGUCAGUAUUGCUCCUUCCUUAGAUAUUUGAAUUCCAGCUCUAUAAGAUUCCUCCUUCAAUCUCCUGGGAUGCCAUCAGCAGCCAUAUAGGGCCUCCCCCUCAGAGGCUGGGCUUCAACUCCUCAAGACCCUUCCUCUGAUCCUUUAGGUUGCAAUAGACCUAAUCUUUUCCCUUAUUCCCCAGCCCUGGUAGGGGUAGCUUCUUCCUGAAGUUACUAUCUCUAUGUUAUCUCAUUGUUCCCAUUUCAUUACUUCAGCCUUCCAAAAAGGCUGAAAUAUAUAUAACCAACUUCCUAAAUUAAAUCCCCUCUGUUGAAACACCUAAUGUGCUUUCUGUAUUCCUGCAUGCACCUUAACUAACACAAUAUCCCAAAAUUCUUUCUGGUUGUUACCUAAGGGAGAAAUCUGAAAAUCAACUCAACAUAAUGCUUAGGAAACAACAGGUGCUGGAGAG
rnacentral:lncRNA from 1 species